GAUGAACGCUGGCGGCGUGCCUAAUACAUGCAAGUCGAGCGACAGGACGAGAAGCUUGCUUCUCUGAUGUUAGCGGCGGACGGGUGAGUAACACGUGGAUAACCUACCUAUAAGACUGGGAUAACUUCGGGAAACAGGAGCUAAUACCGGAUAAUAUUUUGAACCGCAUGGUUCAAAAGUGAAAGACGGUCUUGCUGUCACUAAUAGCUGGAUCCGCGCUGCAUUAGCUAGUUGGUAAGGUAACGGCUUACCAAGGCAACGAUGCAUAGCCGACCUGAGAGGGUGAUCGGCCACACUGGAACUGAGACACGGUCCAGACUCCUACGGGAGGCAGCAGUGGGGAAUCUUGCACAAUGGGCGAAAGCCUGACGGAGCAACGCCGCGUGAGUGAUGAAGGUCUUCGGGUCGUAAAGCUCUGUUAUUAGGAAAGAACAUAUGUAGAUGUAACUGUGCACAUCUUGACGGUACCUAAUGAGAAAGCCACGGCUAACUUCGUG
rnacentral:rRNA from 1 species